UACAGAGGGGGCUAGCGUUGUUCGGAAUUACUGGGCGUAAAGGGCGCGUAGGCGGCCUGUUAAGUCGAACGUGAAAUCCCCGGGCUCAACCCGGGAACUGCGUCCGAUACUGGCAGGCUUGAAUCCGGGAGAGGGAUGUGGAAUUCCAGGUGUAGCGGUGAAAUGCGUAGAUAUCUGGAGGAACACCGGUGGCGAAGGCGGCGACCUGGACCGGUACUGACGCUGAGACGCGAAAGCUAGGGGAGCGAACAGG
rnacentral:rRNA from 1 species